rnacentral:rRNA from 1 species
UGGGGAAUCUUGCACAAUGGGCGAAAGCCUGAUGCAGCAACGCCGCGUGCGGGAAGACAGCCCUAGGGUUGUAAACCGCUUUCAGCAGGGAAGAAACUGACGGUACCUGCAGAAGAAGAUGCGGCCAACUACGUGCCAGCAGCCGCGGUGACACGUAGGCAUCAAGCGUUAUCCGGAUUUAUUGGGCGUAAAGAGCUCGUAGGCGGUUCGGUAAGUCGGGUGUGAAAACUCUGGGCUCAACCCAGAGAGGCCACUCGAUACUGCUGUGACUAGAGUGCGGUAGGGGAGCGGGGAAUUCCUGGUGUAGCGGUGAAAUGCGCAGAUAUCAGGAGGAACACCAGUGGCGAAGGCGCCGCUCUGGGCCGUAACUGACGCUGAGGAGCGAAAGCAUGGGUAGCAAACAGGAUUAGAUACCCUGGUAGUCCACACCGUAAACGAUGUCUACUAGCCGUUGGGAGACUUGAUUUCUUAGUGGCGCAGCUAACGCACUAAGUAGACCGCCUGGGAGUACGGCCGCAAGGUUAAAACUC